AGGAUCCUGGUGAGCAGCAGGUUGAAGUAGCUGAGCAGGAGCUCAUUGAAGGCAAGUUGUGCCCUUGACCACUUUUUACCCAAUAAUGCUCUUUAAUAUCAUUUAUUCAUGCAUAGGUUAAUUUUGAUGGGACCCAAUAGGUUACCCUAGAUUGUUGAUCUCACUACCUUGUUUACCCCUGAAUCACCUGGGUAGUUUGCUAUUGCUUUACAUGGUUUUGGGAUAAUCAUUUAUUACCUCUAUGUUCCAAUUCUUUUUGUUAUUCUAUUUAUGUUCAUGUUGAGAUCAUUAAUGUUAAUUGGAACAUAGAGCUUAACUUGAGAACCACGUGCCACCACAAGGGUUUAAUGGGACGCCCUUGGCUGACUAAUUAGGAAAGCUAGUGGAAGACUACCUUACCCGAAAGGGGCAAGGGCAGUAGGGGGGUGGUCAGUGUAGGGAGGUCCCUGGUUGAUUUUGCUGCGAUGGCGGUCAGCCAGGAACCCUGCAUUGGAACUUCCUAUAACUGUAGCGGGUUUUCGGAAGCUAGUGGAACUUUGUAAAGGCCUCGUAGUGUUGCCCUGCCGCGCUUCCUAGGUAGAGGUGUAUGGGAUUCGCGACCCCUUGGCAGAUGGGUAACAUGACUUGUGGGUAAAGGGUACAACCUCUGCAGAGUGUAAAACUGGUAUACUAGCCGAGCUCACGGUCAUGAGCAGCUCAGGACUCUCUGAUGUUUAAAUUAUGGAACUUAAAUUCAAUUUUGUCAUUUGCAUUGCAUGGGUUUAUUAUUAAUUUUGUUCUAUUACUUUACUUAAGGUUUGGUAUUUACUUACACUUAGUAACUGCUAAUAAAAUUUUGACCAACUACUUAAAAGCAAUGCUCAGCUUUAACCCCUAUCAUUGAUCAGCCUUACACUUCACAUGAGCUCCCACCUUUGGUGAGUUCAUGUCACAUUAUUCCCCACAACUUGUUGAGCGAUGAACGUAUGUGAGCUCACCCUUGCUGUCUCACACCCCCCACAGGAGAAGAGCAGGUGGUUCAGGAGGAGCCACAAGGCAAGGAGUACGAUCUGAUCUAGGUGGCGUUUCUCAGUUGACAUUGGCGCCGACGAUCCUUAGUUCGUUUUAUGUUUAUUCUUUUAUUUUGUAAUAAGUCUUCCGCUAUGUAAUAAAUACUCUGAUGUUAUUGACAUUUAUCUCUAUACACUCUGUUAUUAUAUAUGUUGUCUUCUUGGCGCAUGUAUGAGAUGCACCCGGCUUUGUUCUUUAAAACCGGGUGUUACAGAAGUGGUAUCAGAGGAAAUGUUGACUGUAGGACGAAACCUAGAUAGAAAUGGAUAAACCCUUACCUACUUUUCUUAUUCUGAUUCAUUCUAUACUUACCUUACUCUAAUUCAUUCUAUACUUAUCUUACCUUCAUCCUGUCCCACCUUUUGCUGUCUAACUCUGAUUAUUCUUACCUUUUCUACUCUGAGACAAGAUGGAUUUCACACCUGGGAAUCCUACAUUUGUGAUCUUUUUAAGAGAUAGGAGACCUAAGACAAAACUAAAACUAUUUUCUCUAUUUUAAAAAAAAUGUUGGUUGAUUGUUCUGAUGAUAAAUACUUGAUUUGCUUCUUUGAUUGAUUGAAACAUUAUAGUUGGGCAUCUUAGCAUGUACCACCAUAAGGUAAUGUAUUAGCUUUAGUGAGUGACACACUAAUCUACUUAGCUAAUAAAUCCCCCGCAGUAACAUUCCUUGUAAUUACUCGACCUGUCUACAAUUCUUCCUUUCUUACCCUGUGUUUCUAACCCAGAUGGGCUACCCCUAUACUGUUAGAAGAGAGCAGUAUAGACUUGAUCCUUGGUAUGUCAUGGUUAAGAAAGGCAAAGACAGUUUAUACACUGUGCUAGGGGAACCAUAGAACUCACCAGUUCCAAAGGAGAAAGAUUUCAAGUUAAUAUUGCAGUAACCUCCUCAUCCAUGCGUGCAAUGUUCUUUAUACCUGAGGAGUUUGUUGGUGACAACAUCCGGGUGGUUAGAGAUUUUCCGGAUGUCUUUCCACAAGAGUUACCAUGGAUGCCACCAUAUAGAGAAGUUGAGUUUGUCAUUAAUCCCUUACCUAGGUUGCCCCUACUUUCAAACGGCCAUACAUGAUGUCUGUAGAAGAGUUAAAGGGACUGAAGAAGCAAUUAACAGAAUUACAAGAGGCUGGAUACAUAUGUCCGAGUUCCACACCUUGGGGAGCAUCGGUCUUGUUUGUACAGAAGAAGGAUGGAUCGCAGCGGAUGUGUGUGGAUUAUAGAUCUCUUAAUGAUGUUACGGUGAAGAACAAGUGUCCAUUACCCCGCAUUGAGAAUUUACUUAACCAGAUGAGAGGUGCAAGAGUAUUCUCGAAGAUUGAUCUCCGAUCAGGUUAUCACCAAAUGAAGAUUAGGACAUCGGAUAUGCCUAAGACGGCUUUCUCGACUCGAUAUGGAUUAUAUGAGUUUACUGUUAUGUCGUUUGGAUUAACCAAUGCGCCGGCUUAUUUUAUGAACUUGAUGAAUAAGGUGUUUAUGGAGUACUUGGACAGAUUCGUCGUGGUGUUCAUCGACGACAUUCUUGUCUAUUCCAAGAGUGAUAGCGAUCACGAGGAACAUCUGAGAUUGGUGCUACAGAAGCUAAGAGAUAAUCAACUCUAUGCCAAGUACAGUAAAUGCGAGUUCUGGAUUGACGAGGUGUCAUUCCUUGGAUAUAUCAUGGAGGAAUAACAGUGGGUCCUACUAAGGUUAAGGAGAUAAUGGAGUGGAGAGUACCCACUACAGUUACUGAGAUUCGGAGUUUCUUGGGAUUAGCAGGAUAUUAUCGGAAAUUUAUUGAAGGAUUUUCUAAGAUUGCUAAGCCUAUGACUUCGCUUUUGGAGAAAUGAAAAGAAUUUAAGUGGGACGAGAAGUGCCAAGACAGCUUUGAUCAAUUGAAGAAAAGAUUGAUGUCGCCUCCAGUAUUGGUUAUGCCAGACCUGCAGAAAGGAUUUGAUAUCUAUUGCGAUGCAUGUGGCCAAGGCUUAGGAUGUGUGCUCAUGCAGGAAGGACAUGUGAUUGCCUACGCUUCUCGUCAGUUACGCAAACAUGAACUGAACUACCCCACGCAUGACUUGGAAUUGGCAGCCGUUGUGCAUGCGCUUAAGAUUUGGAGACAUUAUAUUAUGAGAACCAAGUGUCAAGUGUAUACGGAUUAUAAGAGUUUGAAGUGUAUAUUCACUUAGAAGGAUCUUAACCUUAGGCAACGUCAUUGGUUGGAGCUUAUUAAGGAUUAUGAUUUGGAGAAUCACUAUCACCCGGGCAAGGCGAAUUUGGUUGCCGAUGCCUUGAGUCGCAAGGAGCAUGUUCAUUCAACUAUUAUUGCCCAGCUACCCGAUGAGAUUGUUGAGGAUUUCAGAAGACUUAACCUGGGGAUAGUUGCUCACACUGAAGGAGUUACUAUUGAUGUGGAACCUAGUUUGGAGCAAGAAAUCCGCAAAGGACAAAUUGGUGAUGCGAAAAUACAAGAGAUUAAGGAUUUGAUUACUGAAGGUCGAGGUCCGGAAUUCACGAAAGAUGAGCAAGGCACAAUAUGGUUCAAGGAUCGGAUAUGAGCUCCUGAGAUUGAUAGCCUUCGUGAGACUAUUUUAAAGGAAGCCCAUGACUCGGAUUAUUCUAUUCAUCCUGGUGGUACCAAGAUGUGUCAGGAUUUGACGUAGAAAUACUGGUGGUAUGGACUGAAGAGAGAUGUGGCAGCACAUGUGGUUAUGUGUGAUGUGUGUCAAAGAGUUAAGGCUGAACACCAGUGGCUAGCUGGACUACUGCAUCCACUGAAGAUACCCGAGUGGAAAUGGGAAGAUAUUGGUAUGGAUUUUAUUACUGGAUUGCCUCACACCCAGAAAGGAUAUGAUGCUAUAUGGGUGAUUGUGGAUAGAUUGACUAAAGUGGCUCACUUUAUUCCUGUCAAGACUACUUAUAAAGGUUCUCAGCUAGCAGAGUUAUAUAUGACUCGAAUUGUGUGUUUACCUGGAGUACCAAAGAAGAUCGUUUUGGAUAAGAGGAUCACAGUUUACCUCCAGAUUUUGGAAAAGUUUCAUGAGAAUAUGGAUGCGAAGUUCGGCCUAUCAUCCUUAGAUUGAUGAACAGACUAAAAGGACUAAUCAAGUAUUGGAGGACAUGUUGAGAGCUUGUGCCCUUCAGCAUGGUAGUAGUUGGGACAAGAGUCUACCUUAUGCUGAGUUCUCAUAUAAUAAUAGCUACCAGACCAGUCUGAAGAUGUCCCUGUUCGAGGCUCUAUAUGACAGGAAAUGCAGGACUCCUUUGUAUUGGGAUCAGACUGGAGAAAGACAGUUCUUUGGGCCUGAACUGAUUCAAGAAGCAGAAGAACAAGUUCAUAUAAUUCGAGAGAAUUUGAGAGUGGCUCAAACCAGGCAAAAGAGCUACGCUGAUAAUAGAAGAAGACCACUGGAAUUUGAAGAAGGAGAUUAUGUGUACCUCAAGGUGUCACCACUUCGUGGAAUGAGGAGAUUCAAAGUUAAGGGCAAAUUGUCCCCUCGCUACAUUGGACCAUUCUUGAUCUUUAGGCGAGUUGGGGAGAUGGCAUACCAACUCGAGUUACCUGCUAGCCUAUCGGAUGUGCAUAAUGUGUUCCACGUAUCUCAACUAAAGAAGUGUCUCCGUGUUCCCGAGGAACAGUUACCCAUGGAAGAGCUCAGUGUUCAAGGUGAUUUGACUUACACGGAGUACCCGAUCAAGAUUUUGGAUACUUUGACUCGGGUUACGAGAAAUAAGGUGAUAAAGAUGUGUAAAGUACAAUGGAGUCACCACGGUGAAGAUGAAGCAACUUGGGAAAGAGAAGAAGAGCUUCGUAUAGAUUUUCCUCACCUUUUCUCUAGUUCUUUUUAAAUCUCGAGGACGAGAUUAUUUUUAAGGGGGGUAGGAUUUGUAACACCCACUUUGUAAUUUGCUAGAAAUAAUACCAAUAGAGAAACAAUUUCUCUUUAUGUGAGUUUGAUCUUUAUGCAUCAUCAUAUGUGAACACCAUGUCCAAAAACAAUUAAUAAAGAGAGAUGCUACUAAAUCAAUGCAUCAUGCUGAAUAUUUUAUUUGUGUGUGCAUUCUUGUGACAAUAUUAUAAUAAUGCAAAAAGAAAUAGGUGAAUAUCCAAAUGGGGAUUUAAAUCCUAAAUAAUCCUAGAAUUAAGAAAAGAGAGAAGGAGGAGGAUUAUACAAAAUAGAGGAACAUAAAUGUAUGAAAGAAUAUAUUUUGUCCCCACUAAUAUUUUAAUUUAAGUACUUAACUCAGUUAAGAAGCUCACAAACAAGUUUGAAUUCAAAUUAGUAUUAAAAUUUGAAUUUGUGAAAGAAUGGAGAAAGAAGAAAAUAUAAAAGAAAAAGGAAAAGGAAUACUAUACCUGAUGGGCCGCCAACCUGGAAUUCGGCCCAACUACCCUUUAACACCGCGCGGCCCACGUUCCCUUCAGCCGCGCGCCCGCCUCACCUCACUGCCACACGGGCCCCACCGGUCAGCCUUGGGGAAGAACUUGAGUCCGCACGCCGGAGUCGCCACCGCGGAAACCGGAAUUUCCCCACGAAUCCGGCCUGGCCGUGGCAACCUUGACUGCUUGGUGCCAAUAUAAAUCUGGCCGCUCCCUUGCGCGUUCAACCCGACCCAGAUUGAAGCCAGAACCACCCACCAACCUCCGAAUUUCGUGCUGCCGUGGAGGAGGACGGGUCAGCGCCGCCUUCACUUCGUAAUUAGGUAAGGAAACCUUCUUUUGUGCUCGAAUUGACCUCAGCGAACAUCGGGAGAGCGGAAUUGGUAGAUGGGAGUGUGGCUCUGCGGCGAAUCGCCCCUAGCGAGGUUAGCGCCGCCGUGAGUUGAUGCUUCGCCGUGGGUAGGGCUCUGGGCGUUUCGUUGCACGAUUGGGGUUUGGCCAGGCGAUUCCUUGUGUCCGAGCGAUCGUAAAAAUUGUGUCGGGUGUGUGGACCGGUCGAAGUUCACCGCAUUGGCGCGUUUGCCGGUGUGCCUCCGCCGCUCUAGGCGCGCGUCGCCGUGGUUUAGCGCUGGGGGUGGAAGACAACACAGGGGCCCUAGAUUUAACAAUGGACGAUCACGAUUAGAUGGAGAGAAUAGCUAGCGACAGCCGUUGGAUCGUUGUUUGGCGGUUGAGAUUAGAAACCAGGGAUACCUUUUCGGAUUUUGAUCGUGCGCCGUUGGAUGAAAUCGGACGGACCCGAUCCGAUCUCGCUCUCAUAAGAUAGUGACCGUUAGAUUCGAAUCUAGGGGCGCCUGUUGAAUACUGGUUCGGUAUUAAGUAGAUCUAAUCCUGGCCGUUAAAGUCUAAUCCAGCGGCCAGCAGAGCUCCAUACCCCUUCGGCUGCGCGAUUUACACUUGAACCCCUCUGUUUAUACGAAAUAGAACCCGCCGUCCAUUAGUCACUAUGCACUGUUUCUCUGGAUACUUACCCCGAGCCCCCCUGCGUUUCACAUUAAUUGAGGCCUAGUCCAGUGGCAGGAUAAAAUGUAUAAAUGAAUUAGAAAUUGAAUAUUUAAUAUGAAAAUAAUUACUAGAACUUUAUAAAUUCAUAGAAAAUUCAUACUAACUCCAAAUUAAUCCAUUCCAGUUCCUAAAAUUUUAUAAUUUUAUUGUCUAUCACUUAGAGCCUCUGCUUUAUCAUAACAACAGUAAGAAAAUUAAUCCCACACUUAAUCCUAUUCUAAACACAUAAAACCUUUGAAAAUUCAUAUCUUAAAAGCUAUAACUCCAAAAAAUUAUGAUUCCUAUUCCUAGGAUUUUAUUUUAAUGUGUAGAUUAAUUCUGUGUAUUUUGUUCACAUGUUUGGUGUGAUGUUAAUUUCUCUAUAUGCAAUGUGCUUGUUUGUAUUGUGGCGAGUAGAAGAGCCCGUGACCGAGGAUCCUGGUGAGCAGCAGGUUGAAGUAGCUGAGCAGGAGCUCAUUGAAGGCAAGUUGUGCCCUUGACCACUUUUUACCCAAUAAUGCUCUUUAAUAUCAUUUAUUCAUGCAUAGGUUAAUUUUGAUGGGACCCAAUAGGUUACCCUAGAUUGUUUAUCUCACUACCUUGUUUACCCCUGAAUCACCUGGGUAGUUUGCUAUUGCUUUACAUGGUUUUGGGAUAAUCAUUUAUUACCUCUAUGUUCCAAUUCUUUUUGUUAUUCUAUUUAUG
rnacentral:lncRNA from 1 species